AGGCUUUGAUUGCACCUGCAAUGCCCAGCACUACGGCAAGAGCUGGUGGGUAUUUUUGCCUAUUAUUAAAUCUCUCACUUUCAGCUGGAAGUAAGCGUGGUGAUCCCUCCUCCAGGAAGCUAGGAUCUUACUUGAUUCAAUCUCAAUUUCAGGCAAUUGUGACGACUUCCCCGUUCACGCCUCCACUACGUAUUCCUCCAGUUGUGUAAGCCUUUGUAAUAUGGAGAAAAGAGACAGCCCCUUCAGCAACGAGUCUCUGUUGGUCAAUGUUGCAAAGCUGGAGACGGUAGGAUAUCUUUAGAUGCCUUGUUGUUCAGUAAUUUAUGGAUCAGAAGUUAUCAAGGGUUAAUGUGUGUAAUGUGUACUUUUACUUUUUCUUAAGUGUGUAAUAUGUACUACUUUCUGUACACGUGUAGCACGUAUUUUAUGUCAAAAAAAGAGAAGGAAAUAUCCCAAUUCAUAUUGACUCUCACACCUUCCGCUUUA